rnacentral:rRNA from 1 species
AACGAACGUUAGCGGCGCGCUUAACACAUGCAAGUCGCACGAGAAAGGGCUUCGGCCCCGGUAAAGUGGCGCACGGGUGAGUAACACGUGGGUAAUCUUCCCUCGAGCGGGGGAUAACAUUCCGAAAGGAGUGCUAAUACCGCAUAAGACCACGGCUUCGAAAGAAGCUGAGGUCAAAGCUGGCCUCUAUAUAUAAGCUAGCACUUGAGGAUGAGCCCGCGGCCCAUCAGGUAGUUGGUAGGGUAACGGCCUACCAAGCCUAAGACGGGUAGCUGGUCUGAGAGGAUGAUCAGCCACACUGGAACUGAGACACGGUCCAGACUCCUACGGGAGGCAGCAGUGGGGAAUCUUGCGCAAUGGGCGAAAGCCUGACGCAGCGACGCCGCGUGAGUGAUGAAGGCC